rnacentral:lncRNA from 13 species
AUGCAUUCCUCCGCAACUCUAAGAGGCUAUGGCACAAAGGACCACUCUAAUGUUGACCCAUGGAAAGGAGCUGUCAGAAGAUUGGAAGCGGUCCAGUGUGGGCCACUGGGGAUGGGUUCUGUCUGGAGAGGCUUGUCAAGGAACCAGGCUUGUGUCUGGAUGACAAUGGGACAAGGGGACAUCUGGACCAGUCGAAGACUGACUUUUUCGGUCCAGACUGACAUCGGCCAUCUUGAAAGUGAGAGGCAUGAAGAUGUGACGUUCAGUGUCCUCCAUUUUGUUUUUUUUUAUCUCAUUGUCCUGUCACUCUUUUGGCCCCGCCCCAGGACCCAUUAUUGAGUGCAUGACUUUGCAUGUUGUAAUGUAUGUUGUCAACAUGUUGACGUAUCGUGAGUGUUAUUGUUCAUAUUCGGGUCAUUAUUGGCUUCUAAAGUUGAGCUUUUUCAGUUUUCUACUUCAUAUGAACCUUUUUUUUUUCUAUUUUUCAAUCAUUCUAACCUCUUUUGUCAAUGAACGUUACUUUGUGGGGGGCUAUUCUUCAAUGUUUGUUUAUUUCUCUGUCAAUGUUAGACCCCGGUCCUUUGACGGUGUGUUGGGCAAACUCCACAGUCCUCUAGGAUUGAACAUCCCCUCAGCUGUGUAGGAGGUCGAUAUUCCAACGUCUCCACACUGCAAACUAGGCCUGCGCCUCUGAGGAUUUGGCAGGGGCGAGGCAGGGACGGCGGUAGGGUCGGACUGGGUUUAGUUUGGCUGCCGUGGGGGGGACUGUGGUUUGGACUGAUGUGUCGCUGCUGCCUUGACCCCUGUCACUCUUCAUAUCAGCAGACCAUGAGGAAUGUUGAGAUCUGUUGGCCACCGAUGUGACAUAACCCCUCACUUCCUAAUCAAUGUACCGUUACUAUAACACAUCUGGUUGUAAAGGGGUUACACAAUUGCUCUGAAUAUUCAUGGAUACGUUGCAGGCACAGGGUCUGUAAUCACUAUAGUCACAUAUGAAUAAUCAUAAACCAGGUAGUUUGGGUCCUGGAUGCUGAUUGGCUGAAACAGCAGUUCAGCCGUGUGUGUAUCAGACAAUAUACCAAGGUGAUGUAAAAAUACUGGUUUUACCGCUCUAAUCAUGUUGGCAAUCCGCUUAAAAUAUAAAUAAGGCACCUCGGGCCAGUAUACCACGGCUAAGGGCUGUAUCCAGACACUCCUCGUUGCAUCGUGCCUAAGAACAGCCCUUAGCAGUGGUAUAUUGGCCAUAUACCACACCCCUCGGGCCUUACUGCUCCAGUAUAGUUAUCUAUAACUACCAGCACAUGUACCUAUGCUAUGACAUGUUUAUUUAUAUAGGCUUUAUAAACCCUUACUAAACAGUCCAUAACAGUCAUAUGGCUUUGUGAAAGAAAAAGCAAAUUGAUUUGUGUGGCAUUCAUCAGGACUCGUGGUCUUGAUUGGUUCCCACCAAAGCCAUUGUCCUAUCGAUGGAACCCAUGUGCCUGUGUCGCCACGUUCUCUCAAUGCAUCUGCAUGGUUUUAUUGUGCUCUGGGAAUGUCUCGAAAUCCAGACUUCAUUUAGGUCCGUAUGUAUACCGUACAGCCGGCCCCUCCCAUCCUGAAGGUCCGUAAUGGAUAUUAAUAUGUACAGAACCUAAUGCAUAACGUGCACAGAGUGAUCAUUUCACAGUUUCGCCAUCUCAAGCACUUUAAGGCCGACCGUGCGUUUGAGCGCCACGCCCAGCGUGUCCAAAUGCUCCAAUCUUUUCGUACUCGUUAUCCAAUCAUCUCAAAGGUCAGAGUUCGACAAGGACACGGGAGAAAAGGCGAGACUGACGACACCACAGUGUCACACAACUGCCUGUGAUGCACGUGGUACUUAGAGCUGAAUCUACACUGGCAAAUGUGCCAGGUUAAAGCCCUCACAAUUUCAGCUCCCCCGAAAUAGGUGCUCGCCUUAUCCUGGUAUUUCAGUAAGGGUGUGCCUCAAAUGGCACCCUGUUUCCUAUGUAAGUGCACUACUUUUGACCAGGGCCCAUAAGGCUGUGGUCAAAAGUAGUUCACUGUACAGGGAAUAGGGUGCCAUUUGGUGUGCACCCUCGGAGGCCCUAAUAAAUGGUGGGUGGUGCUGCUGCUCCAUAAUGAGUUGGCUGACUGGGUAGACCGGAGUUCUCCUAAGCUGAUCUGUAGUCCUCAUUCCUUGAAUGCAGACAGGAACGCCGGAUAUUCUCCGGUGUCAGCGCUUCUCAAAGUGGGCUGCCGGAGUUUCAGCACUUUCCCCAAAGCCUAGGAAAAGACUGGAUAAAAUCCGGUUAAAUCCACACAACUCUGGAAUGCAUUUUCAUUAAAAGGCGUUUGUUUGAAGGGAUUGUGUGGUCCAGGGAGAGGGAAUAUCAGAAGAGAUCAGAUUGAAGGGCUGAUUGCUACGUACUGUAGUCGGAGAGCUACUGUUUGAGACAGGAGGGUGAGAGAGGAGAGAAAUGACCUGACCAAGACACAUUUAUUUGGCUGCCUGGUUGCCAAUAAGGCGUGAGAACUGUAAAAAAAAAAAUGUAUUCAAAUCCCUGUUUGUGUGU